CUUAUCUACAACCUGAGGCUCCCUCGUCGUCUUGUUCGUGCCGCUCCCUCGCCUCGCCCUCCCCCGGAUCCGGAGCUGAGCUCCCUACGGUGGCACUCCCUUGCCUCUGCUACCUCGCCUCGCCAUCGCCCGGAUCCGGGGCUCCCGGUGGCGGCGCUCCGUCGUGUCGCGCUCGCUCGGGUCCCGGGCUCCCGGCGGCGGCGGUCGCCUUGUCUCUCCCGGGUCCGGGGCUGCCGGCGGCGGCGCUCCUAGGUCGUCGGCGGCGCGGGCGGCAACAGGCUGCUGGCCGGGUACCUGGCGCACGAGUUCCUACGGCGCAGCACGCUCCUCGGCGAGCGGAGGCUGCAGCCGUCGGGGCGGAAGGAGAAGGAACCCGCCCUUGCCGUCCCCGCGCCCGAGUCGAGCAGGCGCUACGCGGAGGUUUCGCGGCUGCUCAUGGCGGUCGGGGCCCGCAUCCCCGGCGUUGUCAACCCGUCGCAGCUCGGCCGCCGGCUCUGGAUUAAGGAGUGACCGGCCGGCCAUGCCGUGAGACCGCAGGAGCAACGCGCGGAGGGGCGGCAUUGCCUGCUGGUUUGCCUCGCCUCCCCUCAGCGGCCGCGCUCUCUGCCCUCCUCGGCGGACGACCAACCCGAAGAACAGCGGAUGCUUCUGCACACAGCAAGCGGGUCUCUCAUCUCGAUCCGUGCUUCUUCCCUGUUUCUUUGAGCAUUAAAAGACUGCGUCUGUUGCCAUCUUGGGUUCUCCAAAUUUGCAGACGUUGGUGCGUGUGGUAUGGUUUCGGCCAUGCUAUCCAAUCGGUUUUAUCUCCCUCGUUCCAGAAUUCUGCUUUGCCUUCGUUGAUCCGGGGAGGUAGUCCAUUUUUGUUCCAUUUUGAAAUGUUUUGUUUCCAUAAGGACCGAUGGUGCCUAUUCAGGGUUAUCUUGCUGUCCAAUUGCGACAGAACCUGUGAUCGGAAACUUUCUACUUCUACUGGACAGCUAGAACAUUACUGAUGAAAACGAGCAGAAAGCUUAGGUCCUCUUUUGUGAAUACUUUUUGCCGGGAACACCUUGAUGACAACCGUGAGUUUUUCUCCUACAAUUGCUGAUAUCUCUGGUGGUAAUUCAGAUCUGUUGUUUUGUCUUAUCAAUCUAUCUGCAGUUUUGCCAAUAAGUGAUGUUCCUCUCUCAUCAAAGAGCAUAAAUUCCAGCUCACAAGUGCCAUCAGUGCCAUAUAGAGAUAUUUUAUACCUGUUUACAGUGUAGGUUAUAGAUGCUGAUAAAAUGCAAUGAGUUGUGUUUUGAAAUAUUAUUGCAUAGAGUGUACCUAUUUGUCAUCUGAGAGGAGAUAUGGCCUUGCUUGCAAAUAUAAGAGUUUCCUUCAUGUCUUGUCGAUGUAUUACAUUUUGUGCAUCCUUGGUAGCACCAAGAUUCAUUGUCUGAAAUUCUUGUCACUGUGAUGGUGCAUUCGAAACGUUUGGUCUGAAAAUAUAAGCAUUAUUAAGUAACUAUAUAAGUUAGGUGAAAGCAAUUUAAUUUUUUUUUAGUUUGAGAGUGAUGUAGAGUAUCUUACCGAGUCCUCAAACGGAUCGAUUGAUUUCAUUUCCAAAAGUGAUUUCUGUUCAAUCUUGCUCUGCAUCUCGUUCAUCGUCUGAAUAUGAAGCUUUUGGGUUGGCUGGGAGUGUUCACCAAUACUGCAAAUAUAAAAGUCAGAGCUUAGUUAAGUGCAAGGGUGACUGUAUACAUGUAGAAUAAAAGGUAUUGCAUUUUUUUAAAUGAAAGGUAGAUUAUACAAAGGAUUACAAUUUACCUUGCAUAGAAUGCGUUGAUUUCAUUGAUCUCUGGUAGAUUUAUAUACCAGCGGCAUGCAGCUGUGCCGCUGAGGAAAGGGGUUGAUCCGCCAUAGGAUUUAACUGAUGUUCCAACAAAGAUAGCAAUGAUAUGAUUCUUUUCACUGGCUCUAAAGAUUUGUUCUCCUGGGAAUUCCUCUGCUCUUGGUCCCCAUAGGGAUACCUCAAUUUUAUUUCCCCUUCAUUAAAUUGUAAUUAUGUUAUAGUGGGGGUGUAUUGCUGUAUUCUAAAUUCGUUAGAUUAUUAUCAAAAAAGGAAUAAGUAUUUUACCUUAGAUCCAUAAGGUGGAUCAGCCUUUUCAUGCGUAUUGCUCCACUGUUGGUUGAAAACAUUGUUGGAUCAGAAAGAGCCGUAAUGCGUCCAAUGACAUCUGUAGGUUAUAAUUUCAUCAAUCUUAAUUUGUUGGAAUGUUUAAUUUUUUUUACUAUUAGAAAAGAGAGAGAAACAACAGUACCAAUGAAAUACUCAUUGUUUCCUUCGAGUUGUGGUAGCUCUGUAAAUGGUGUGAGAUGGAAUGUAUAUUUUGGGAAAUCUUGUGGUUCUGGAUUCACCUCUUGAAGCACAGUCUUUGGAUGCAAUCUGAUCAUAUACAUUGCACGUACUGGUUUGUAUGAUUGCUUUGCAUUGUCAAUAUAAAUUUUUCUCAUGAUUAAUAUUUUGUUCUCCUGCAGCUGUGGUCGAAGUGCUGAUAUGGCCUCUGGAGGAACUUCAGCAUACAUUGCGGUUCCCUAUAAAAGUAACAGGUAGUAUCUGUUUUGGAUCUCCUCCUAGGACCACCACUUUGCCUCCAAAAGGGCUUCAUCCCAUAUAAUAAGAUCGGUAUCAAUAAGAAGCUUUGCCAGGUUUGUUCCUCUUUUUAUGUCACACAUUGAUAAUUGGUCCAAAUCUAUUGGUAUACGAAAUCUUGAGUGAGCUGUUCGUCCAUUUGGAAGUAGCAAAGAAGCGACUCCUGAUGAUGCAACUGUAAGAACAAUCUUUUUUCUAGCUCUAAGAUAUGAUACGAUGGCCUUCCAUAAAAAUAUUUUUCCAGUUCCUCCAUGUCCAGAGACAAAAUAGAAAUUUCCAUUGCUUGCAAGCACAGAAUUAACAAUGCUAUGAAAAGCUUUAUUUUGAUCUUUGUUUAGUUGUACAUAUAAUUUGUUUGCUUCUUCUUCUAAGUACUUUGUAUCAUAGCUCAUUUCUUCUUGGAUUAGUCUGUUUAUGUUAUCAACUUUCUUUGUGCUGUGUCCCUUGGGUAAAUUGUAAGCAUUUAUUUCUUGGCCAUUCUUAGAGAAUAACUCUUCGAGUUCUUCAAGUAAACAUUGCUGCAGUUCAAAUUCAGAGGGUGCAUAUUUAAUAGGGUGGUAUUUUUGAAUGAGGUUUUUCGGUAUGUCAUCAACCAUUGUAUGCCAUGUUGCAUUGAAAAAUUCUUUUUCAUCUUUUAUUUGACAAUAUGUUAGCAUUAUAACAAAUAGAUUACGUAGUUGAAAAGAUGUUGCCCAAUUGGUUGCUUCAUGAUAUGUAUGAUACCACUCCUUGUCAUCAUCCAAUAAUCCUCUAGCUGCACAAGCCUCUUUAAAUGUUUGGUACAGGACACCAUUAUAUGUUCGUAUUUCUUCAUAGCUUUUAGCACCUUUAACAAUCAUUAGAAGCAUUCUUAAAUAGAAUCUUUCACCUUCAGCUGGGUUAACAUAAUAGAGCCUUCCGAUUUUGAAACCAUGUUGUCUUUUUUUCCAUUGCUUCUGUGCUCCAUCCCAGCGCCACUUUCUUGGGAAUUCAUAGUAUGUUAAUUCUCUUGCAUCUUUAUGCUCUUUAUUUGCAGUAAACCAUUCAGUGAGCAUUGUUUUUGCAUAGUUUGGAUCUUUAGCUAUUUGAGCCAGUUUUUCAUCUGAUUUCAUCUUAACGAUAUUCAUCAAUGGUAGAUGAACCGGUAAUCUUUCUACAGGUGGCCAAUGAUAAUGUAUUUCAUAUCCUAAUAAUCUCCAAAGAGCAUCUUGUUCGCAUAUAUACCUGCAGUCUAGAUACUCUUGUAUCUCAUCUAUAGUGUCUGUUUCCUUGUUUAGAGGUGGUUCUUGUUCUUUUUUUAUUUUUUCGAAUAUGACCUGUGCUCGAUCAGGUCCCUUGUUUACAUAUUUGCAUAGGUAUUUCAGAACUCUACUCUUGUUUACAUACUCAACAUUUAUGUGGGCUUGGUAUCUUUUUAAUAGUAUCAAAUUAUGCGGCACAACCCAUCUAUUGUCCAAGUUGUGUUGCUCCCUUCUUAUGAAAAUCCCAUUGUUCCUUCUUCGAUAUAUUGUGAAACCAUUCUCAGAGAAUGUGGUGUUCUCUACAAAAUCUUUGGGAUAAAAUUUGGAGCAUUUGCCUUUCUUCAUGCAUGGACAAUUCCAGUUUUUCUCUCCACAUGGUCCAUGCAUCAUAUGCUCGGCAACAAGAGUAUAUCCUAAAGGAUCUAUCUCAGGAUCUACUAUUUCAGCAGAUAUCCAAGAAUCUAUUGUUUCUGAAGUUACUUCAUAACCGUUCUUGUCUAACCAAACUAAUAUGUGAACAUGCGGUAGUCCUCUUUUUUGAAAUUCUAUAGAAUACAGAAGUGCUAGUAUAGGGCCAAAUAUUUUUCCUGAAUGUAAGUCAUCCAAAAGUUGUUGCAGUUUCAUAUAGAAAACACAGACAAUAAUAUCUGGUCUAUCAUUUGCGUGUUGAUCGGGUAACAAACAUGAUGUUAUUUCAGUCCAUUUUGGGUUGCAAGUGAAUGUAAUAAAAAGAUCUGGCGGUCCAUAGACACAACAAAUAGCAAUACCGUCAUGGUAAUUUUGUACUAUAUAUCGUCUUGAUCCAACAUGGCUAGAUGGUAGUAACACUUUUUUGCCUAUUUGGCUUGCAUCAUAUAUUCCUUUUUCUACAGCAUCGAAAACACCUUGAAUAUAUUCAGCUCGUAAUUUAGAUUGGUUUCUAAUAAUGUAAUCAAGUCGAUCUUCAUCUUCCAUUGCUCGACCAUCUACUAUUAUUUGCUUUGAUAGUCGGCCAUAGCAUAACCAAGGAUUAGGUUGAUCAGGUCUGUAAUGCACAUGGUAUUUUAGAAAUUCAUGCAUAGUUAUUGUCUCUCUCUUAGAGUUUUCUCCCUUUUGGUUAAGGUUUGGUCCUUGGUACUUUAUACCUAGCUGGAAGCCUCGUUCUCCAUAUGGGAAUAGGAGCGGGUAUUGUAGCGGCAUAUAUGCUGGAUGAAAAAUAGAUAUCCGCUGUAGACCAUUGUUGUGUGUGCUAACAAUAAUAUCUCGUUUGUAGUUCUCCAGAGAUAAGUCACCUACAAUUAAUAUAGCUAAUUCUUCUUGAUGUGGUAUUUCAUAUUGAAUUCUAUCGCUUUUAUCAGCACCUAAUAUUCUAAUACUUAUAUCAAUGCCUUUAUGUUCUUCGACAAAAUCACGAGCCUGGCGAAAGAUUUUUACUAAUGGAUUAUAUUGGUCUAGCAUUCUUUGUAGGCCUUUUACUAUUUCUGGAUCUAGAUUUUGCUCGUCUGGUUCUUCUUUUGUUAAGGCCCUGAUUCUAUUCUCAAUUUCAUUCUUUGUAUCAAAUAUAUAUAGUUCUGCAAAUUUUGGGCAAUUGUUCGGCAAGGGUAGCAAUGAUCCUAUUCGAUGAUGUAUCUGUCCGUUGACACGAAAGACAUAGGGUCUGUCACCAUCAUUUAUUUUUUUAUCGAUAUUUCCACCCAUAGAUGUAAACGCAAACAUACUAUUAUAUUGUCGUAUUUUUUGUAGAAAAUGUCUGGAUCUGCUAUCCUUCUUUUGAUGUAACAAUUCAUUUAGAUAAGGUGGAGGAUCUCUAUACUUUGGUAUUUUGAUUUUGCCAUUUUUGCAGCAGUUUGAAUACACUGGUUGCAAGUUAUUGUGCCUUGUCAUGGAUUUAUUGCGUUCAUUAAACCAGAAAAUAGCAUUACAAUGUGUACAUUUGUAUUCUGGUUUGCCGAGAAUGAGGAUGGGACAAAGGUUGAAUACAGGGUGUGGAACCCCUUCCAUUCCAAGCUGGCUGCUGCUGUGCUUGGUGGUGUUGACAACAUCUGGAUUGCUCCUGGUACUCGUGUGCUGUAUCUCGGUGCUACUUCUGGCACAACUGUCUCAUGGGUCUGAUAUUGUUGGACCAGUGAGGUUGGUCUAUGCUGUUGAGUUCUCUCACAGGAGUGGUAGGGAUCUUGUCAAUAUGGCAAAGAAGAGAACCAAUGUGAUCCCCAUUAUUGCUAAAGGGGACUUUCAUCAUGAAAGUGCUUUUUUUUUCUGUCGUUCUCUUAGCAGCAGGAGAUAGGAGUGGUAGGGAUCUUGUCAAAUAUGGCAAAGAAGAGAACCAAUGUGAUCCCCAUUAUUGCUAAAGGGGACUUUCAUCAUGAAAGUGCUUUUUUUUUUUCUGUCGUUCUCUUAGCAGCAGGAGAUUAUUGAAUCUCUAGCAGGUGGGCGAGCUUGGAUUUUUUUUUUCCAAUUAGACUGAUCUAUCUCUUUUCUUCUCUCCGGUAGGAAUUUUAGAAGUCUCAAGUUACUUGUAGUAAUUAGAAGAGUAAAAGUUAAAAAAGCUUCUGAUUCGUACC